GUCCUGCGAUGUAUCUUCCCAAGUGGCGUGGAUGUGAGGAGACACGACAUUUCACCUGAUGUUCCAUGGGUGACCCUACUGGUGAUGUGGACCUGACCCUCCGCCAUGUAGCAGACAACCCCCCCUCAGGUCCUGCGAUGUAUCUUCCCAAGUGGCGUGGAUGUGAGGAGACACGACAUUUCACCUGAUGUUCCAUGGGUGACCCUACUGGUGAUGUGGACCUGACCCUCUGCCAUGUAGCAGACAACCCCCCUCAGGUCCUGCGAUGUAUCUUCCCAAGUGGCGUGGAUGUGAGGAGACACGACAUUUCACCUGAUGUUCCAUGGGUGACCCUACUGGUGAUGUGGACCUGACCCUCCGCCAUGUAGCAGACAACCCCCCUCAGGUCUUCCGGUGUAUCCUUCCUAAGUGGUGUGGAUGUGAAGAGACAGUUCCCUUGAUGUUCCCUGGGCAAUCUACUUACGUACAAUUCAAAUGCAUUACAAAUUUUAAUAAAAACCACAGGAAACUUCUAUUUUUAAAAGUUUAUU